CCUUGGUCACACCCUGGGAGCAGAAGUGGUAGUCGAACGGGUUGGUCGUCACCAGCAGCAUGUCUGCAACACAGGAACGUAACUCGAUCACACUGCAGUUUUAUUUGUGCUGCUUGUUUAUUUGGUUCAUUCUGCUGUCAAUAAGUUUAUUUUACUAGUAAGGAGUCUUUUUAAUGCUAGGAAUUUGAGUAGGUUCUUCUUUACUGCAGCGUUGUACAACAGCGCCCCUUCGUUGUGUUGACUGAUGCUGUGGCCAAACGUGGUACUACACUCGGUGGUUUAAAGUGUUUAAACGGUUCGGUGCGUUCAACGCAGCGGAGAAACCCGAGGCUGCGGGUUUUUUGGGAGUGGAGCUACUGAAGAGCAGCGACGAUGGCAAAGUACUGUAUCACCCUCUUGGUGUUGACUGUUUUCCCUGCACCUGACUCGCCGCUGACGGGAUUAAAGAACAGUCACACAAGGCUGCAGUGAAUGAAACGCGUGAAGGUGAACUAGCAGCAGAUUGUUGGACCUGAGGCCUAAGAAGAGUUUGUGCAACGGCUUCAAACUGCUGACAGGCAGAGCAGCAGUGUCAUCUGCAUAUGAGCGUAUCAGUAGAACUAGACCUGUAGGACACAUUCCUGCUUCCUAGAAGAUGAACCCUCGUCCUCCUCCCCCUCCAGCGUCUACAGGGGGACCAAUAACCUAGGGCCAACAUCCAGGCAGUGGUGUUGGGUUACAGAUGACUGACAGGAUGGAAGCGGUCGUCUGGGUGAGUUCAGACUCAGUUCAAGCUGAAGAUGAAGCGUAACGCCUGCUUUAACAUUGUGGACGUUGAACGCUGAGGUGCGUUUGGCUCCGUGGCGGUUUCCAGGUCCUCCUCCUGCCGUUUCCCUUGGUUCUGUUGUGUUGGCCCUGUGUUUUAUAAAUACAGCUUUACUGCUGAUGCCACUACACAUUUCUGUGUAAGCCCUCCAUCCAUCCCCACCAGCUGUCUCCCUCCCGCCCCCCUUCGUAGCUGGA